AGUGAACGCUGGCGGUAGGCCUAACACAUGCAAGUCGAACGGCAGCACAGUAAGAGCUUGCUCUUACGGGUGGCGAGUGGCGGACGGGUGAGGAAUACAUCGGAAUCUACUUUUUCGUGGGGGACAACGUAGGGAAACUUACGCUAAUACCGCAUACGACCUACGGGUGAAAGCAGGGGUUCUUCGCACCUUGCGCGAUUGAAUGAGCCGAUGUCGGAUUAGCUAGUUGGGGGGGUAAAGGCCCACCAAGGCGACGAUCCGUAGCUGGUCUGAGAGGAUGAUCAGCCACACUGGAACUGAGACACGGUCCAGACUCCUACGGGAGGCAGCAGUGGGGAAUAUUGGACAAUGGGCGCAAGCCUGAUCCAGCCAUACCGCGUGGGUGAAGAAGGCCUUCGGGUUGUAAAGCCCUUUUGUUGGGAAAGAAAAGCAGCAGGUUAAUACCCCGCUGUUCUGACGGUACCCAAAGAAUAAGCACCGGCUAACUUCGUG
rnacentral:rRNA from 1 species